AGCAGCUAAUGGGGAGGCUCCACACCAUUGAGCCAAUGGAGGUGGGACCCACCUGAGAGCAGAGAGGAGCCCAUGGAGGUGGAUUCAAGGCCUGGGGAAGACCCAGUGGAGGUCGAUCCACCUCCAUCAGGGACAAACCACCAGCAGGCCACCACUCUUCAAGCUGCGUGAGAGGACAUCCAGACCCCAUCCCUACCAUCACAGCAGGGUGGGGUCCUGCCCACCUCCCCCCACGGCUGCCUCAAUGCCAGCGCUGAACAUCCUGUCCUACCUUGAGAGUGUGUGUGUGGAUUCCUGUGUCUUCCCUUGGUCUCCCCAGCAUGGGAAAGACAUGGCCAUAUGGGUGUGGCCCAGGCAAGCCAAAAGCUUGGACACCCAUGCCCUAGAAAGAAUGAACACAUGGUGAGAAGCCCCUUCUUCUGUGGCUUUCUACAGAGUGUUUAAGCUUGGCUAGAAGAAGACAGCAGAUGGGAAAGUUGCAUCAGGAGUGUUUAUUCAAAUGUAGAAACACUUCAGCAAGCGUUUCUCGGCAUCAGAGCUUAAGCUUCCUCAAGUAUAGCUUUUCCCUCUGGUGACAAAGCUGCUACCCUAAGAACCAUGCUGCAGAAGAAGAAAACAAGAAAGAGUACACAAAGCCUGCAUCUUUACCUCAGUUGCUACUUCCACAUGCAUUAUGCCUCCUUUUUAAGUUUCUUCUAAAUGAGCUGACUGGUGGCUAGUAAGAACUUGUGCUUAGGACCCAUCUUGUCUUGAGCUAAUGCUUAGAGACUAAAAGAUACUCUGUAGUUAUUUAUGCAUGUUUUUUUAACACUUUUCUUUACUAGUUCUAUAACUAAAUGUUGUCAAUGCAUUUAAUAUAGAGUAACACAAAGUUCUUUGAGAACACCCAUAGGCCUGUCUUGUCAUUCAGGCUUUGAGGUAUCACCUGUGGUGUUUAAGAAGUCACCUGUUCCACUGGAAGAAAAGUGCUAAUAGCCUGAAGUCCUUAAAAAAAUACAAGCUGGAGAAGUAGGGUUGUGUCUUCCUUUAUAAGCAUUAUAAGAUUAGGCCUUCAAGCAUUUCAUUCUAUUUACAUGUUAUAAACAAAAUAAAGACCCCCCCAAGGAGUCUCACACAACAUGAAGUCUGCAAAAGCAAAACUCCUAUUAAGUUUAUUAAGAAAUUAAGUUUCAAUAGUGAAUUAUAACUUAAGGGGAGAAAAAGGAAGUAAAGUAAUAAGGGAAAGAAAAAGCUACUGAAAAGGGAAACUAGCCUAGCUUCUUACUAAAAAAGGGAAGGACAGAAUAAUGUUUUAAAAGACAGACUGCAUAUAUUUGACAUAAAUCACAUAAAAACUUGAAAGCAUACAGUGAACUUACACAGCUUGUGAUCCUUUUCCUGAGCACUCAUUACUCUCUAAAUAAUGAGUAACUCUAGGGAGAGGGAGCUUCUUUUAUACAGAGCUCUUGAUAUCCUUUGGGAAAUUAAUCAUCAGAAUCAGCUGGGGGCCAUUUGUAAGCGAGUCAGGUUCAGACUUUGCCUCAGGUAAACAGUGAUGAAAUAAUAUUGCAUAAAUGAUUAAAUAAUCUAGAGAAAACCAUAGAUAAAAACUUCAGGUAGCCAAUGGCAGAGAGAGGGGUGAACUCUGAAGAAAUAUCAGGAAAAUUAAUGGUUUGUGCAAAAAACUCUACAAAAUAUGGAGCAGA
ensembl:lncRNA